UCCAGAAAGCAGGACUCAGGGAUCCUCCACCAUGGCCUGGUCCCUUCUCCUGCUCACCCUCCUGGUUCAUUGCACAGGGUCCUGGGCCCAGUCUGUGCUGACUCAGCCGUCCUCAGUGUCUGGGGCCCUGGGCCAGAGGGUCACCAUCUCCUGCACUGGAAGCAGCAGCAACAUCGGGUAUGGCUAUGAUGUGCACUGGUACCAACAGCUCCCAGAGAUGACCCCCAGACUCUUCAUCUAUGGUAACAGCAAUCGACCCUCAGGAGUCCCUGACCAAUUUUCUGGCUCCAAAUCUGGAAUCUCAGCCUCCCUGACCAUCUCAGGGCUCCAGGCUGAAGAUGAAGCUGAUUAUUACUGUCAGUCCUGGGACAGAAAUGCUGAUGGCCUCACAGUGCUCCAGGCCAGGGGGGAAAGGAUAUUCCUGGAAUCUGGGAAUAAUCCCUAA